GGAAAAGAUAAAAGCAGGAAGGACAGGACGAGCAACACAAUGUCUGAGCCUCUGACAGCUCAGACAUACACAGUCAAAGAUGUGCUUAGCUAAACACUGAAGGACCUGGGAAAAAAGGAUUUUAAGUCUUUAAAAUG